rnacentral:rRNA from 1 species
GUUUGAUCAUGGCUCAGGAUGAACGCUGGCGGCGUGCUUAACACAUGCAAGUCGAACGGGAAUUACUUUAUUGAAACUUCGGUCGAUAUGAUUUAAUUCUAGUGGCGGACGGGUGAGUAACGCGUGGGUAACCUGCCUUAUACAGGGGGAUAACAGUCAGAAAUGACUGCUAAUACCGCAUAAGCGCACAGAGCUGCAUGGCUCGGUGUGAAAAACUCCGGUGGUAUAAGAUGGACCCGCGUUGGAUUAGCUAGUUGGUGAGGUAACGGCCCACCAAGGCGACGAUCCAUAGCCGGCCUGAGAGGGUGAACGGCCACAUUGGGACUGAGACACGGCCCAGACUCCUACGGGAGGCAGCAGUGGGGAAUAUUGCACAAUGGGGGAAACCCUGAUGCAGCGACGCCGCGUGAAGGAAGAAGUAUCUCGGUAUGUAAACUUCUAUCAGCAGGGAAGAAAAUGACGGUACCUGACUAAGAAGCCCCGGCUAACUACGUGCCAGCAGCCGCGGUAAUACGUAGGGGGCAAGCGUUAUCCGGAUUUACUGGGUGUAAAGGGAGCGUAGACGGAUGGACAAGUCUGAUGUGAAAGGCUGGGGCUCAACCCCGGGACUGCAUUGGAAACUGCCCGU